CCUACGGGUGGCAGCAGUGAGGAAUAUUGGUCAAUGGCCGGAAGGCUGAACCAGCCAAGCCGCGUGAAGGACGAAGGUGCCAAGCAUUGUAAACUUCUUUUGUCAAGGGACAAAAUCAGGCUCGAGAGCCUGACCGAGGGUACUUGAAGAAAAAGCAUCGGCUAACUCCGUGCCAGCAGCCGCGGUAAUACGGAGGAUGCGAGCGUUAUCCGGAUUUAUGGGGUUUAAAGGGUGCGUAGGCGGUCGGAUAAGUUAGAGGUGAAAGCCCGAGGCUCAACUUCGGAAUUGCCUGUGAUACUGUCCGGCUAGAGAGCAGGUGAGGAAGGCGGAAUGCAUGGUGUAGCGGUGAAAUGCGUAGAGAUUAGACAGAACACCGAUUGCGAAGGCAGCUUACCAGGCUACUUCUGACGUUGAGGCACGAAAGCGUGGGGAGCAAACAGGAUUAGAUACCCUUGUAGUC
rnacentral:rRNA from 1 species